rfam:Erinaceus europaeus cont1.446528, whole genome shotgun sequence.
AGAUGGUCCCGAGCUCCCAGAGUCCCCAGUAAAAGGAUUCCGCCGCCCUGCCUCUAUUAUUGUGCCGUAAAUCUUUUUAAAUUCUGGAACUAAUUAUAUAGAGGAUAUGUCUCAAUUUGUUCUGCAUUAAUGCCACAGUGGGGAUAGAGGCCGGGCCGUGGCCAGAGCAGAUACGUAGGCCCAUGAAAUUGAUGAACUGAGAGAGUUGCUUCCAGUCCUGAGCGCACACCAUCUGGAAUUCCAGUCUGAGGUUACAAUUAGAACUCCUGACCCCAGAUUCAACUUUGCAAACAAC